GAAAACUUGCGCGCAGGCAGACUCUCGCGUUCUUUCCGAGGUCGACCUCGUGUGUGGAAGUCAUGGCUGUUCGCCUGCGUGCCGAACCUGACCCUUUGACUUCUGCAAAGGCGAGUUCAAAAGAAAAGGAGACUGUCUGGGAUCUAAGUGUUCCCCAAGAAAGCAGAAAUGGUGUAAUGGUCUAUCUGUGGUUUACAUUUUGUUCUGAAGCUAAGUUCAACUGAAUGCAUGCAUGCUGGUCUAAGUCCAUUUAGGGUGCUGACUGUGGACUUUGAAAGAAAUCAUAUGAAAAUUCAUCUUACAGUGUUGAGAUGAAGGAUCUUCAUGAUGAAAUUGCCAUAAAUAGUACAUUCUCGGUCUCAGUUUCUGAGGCUCAAAAAGGAUCCUUGGGUAGCUGCACUUCGUUGGCGGGCCCGGACCCAAAAUGUAUCAUUCAUGUUGUUUUUUUUGUUUGUUUGUUUGUUUUUUUUGUAUUUUUACCGGUACCAGGGAUCGAACUCACGACCACAGACUUGCAAGGCAUGCGCUUAUGCCGCUGA
rnacentral:lncRNA from 1 species